rnacentral:lncRNA from 1 species
UAUGUUUUCCAUCACCUAUCUCAAUAAUCAAUUUGACUGUGGAAAUAUGAAUCAAAGAAGUUGUAGCCAGAUAUGAAGGGAAACCUAUGAUAAGUAAUGGUAUUUGUACACAAUUUAUACUUCAUAUCUCCUUUCCUUCAGCUAAACCAUCCAUAUUUGUUUGUACAGCCCUAAAGGUAUGUGUGUACAAACUUGUGGGAUUGUCCUCCUUCUAACCCCCACCCUCUCUCAAAGCAUUUUAAUAUUUUUCUCUUAAUAAAAAACUUUAUAAAUUUCCAAGUGUUAUUUCCUUUCGCUGCACUUUGAAUGAAUGCUUGAAUGACCUGAUCGUUUUUCAGCCGAGUCAGGAAUGCCAAUAUUGGAAAAAUUGUGAGGUAUGACCUUCUCAGUAGCUAGUCCGAGAGGAUGAUCAGGCCCAUUGGAAAACUUUGCACAAGUGGUUAGUUUAUGAUAGAGAGGAUGAUCAGUCCCAUUGGAAAAAUUUGCACAAGUGGUUAGUUUAUGAUAGAGACUUAAGUAUUGAGUUGUAGCUUAGGUUCUAUCAGUUGAAUAUAUAAUAUAAAAAAAUUAUUAGACUUUUUUUAUAGAUAUUUUAUCUACACAUAAGCUCCCAAACAUCACCGUUUCAUUUAAUAGUUCAGAUUUUAAUCUGAUGUAAAAUCUAACGUUUGAGAGCCGAUGUGGAAAUAAAGAAAAUGAUGUACUCCCGACUCCCGUCCCACGAAACUUGUUAUGUUUUCUUAUAUGGCAAAAAAAUUUCUCUUUAUUCAUCUUUUUACUUUUU